CACACGCAGCCUAGUCUAUUUGACCUACACUGGCAAUAUUAAUUAAUUUGCCUGACCACAUCUUUGAUCAUUAUUAAGCCGACUAAGGUUAACCUAUACAACUUUGUGUCUGCAGUCACAGAUAAUUCCUCUGGGAAGGGUGUGUAUAUGCCCAUGUUGAUGUUACAGUGUCCCAAUUUUUGUGGAUGAUGUCUGUGAGUCUACACUAUUUUUAGGGGGCCAGACCUGUUGUCAAAAUAUGCUAAACUUCAUAUGAACAUGCCACAAAGAUUGGUCACAUGCUAUGCCAUUUAGUUUGAUAUUGACUGUUUAGAACAGCAGAAUUGUAUGCUUAAGAUUAUCACUUGACAUUUGCAAGUAUAAAUACAUCCCCAAAUCAGAAAAAUGUGUGAUGUUGUGUAAAAUGCAAAUAAAAACAGAAUGUGAUAAUCUA